UUUUGAACUAUUUGAUCCUGGUAGUAGAAAGGGGCUAAAGACUCGUCUCACAUAGAAAAGUUAUAUGGAUUUAUACCAGGUGUAUUAAGACUUGGUCGUCUAGUGAAGAGAACUUGACAUUUUUAAGGAAACUUAGAUCAGGCGGUCUUUAUUGGGCAGCGGUUAAGACGCAGUGCCAGCAAUCGCGGUUAUACUGUAAGCUGGUCCCUUCUGUUCGGAAGAAAUUAAUUUGUGGGUAAGAUAAUAUUUGCCGGUUCCAUGGAUAGAUAUUGUAGAAACAAGCCCACAGUUGAUGUGUGGUCCAUAUUGGAAAAAAGGAUUAGAUACCCUUGUAUCGGACUAAGGAGUUUUCUUGCCAUAGUUAUUGAGAACUAAAAGGAUUUGGCCGUCGAUGAUGCUCCGCCGGGGGAGUGUGUGCCGUAACGGAUGAUCCACCUAUGAAUUUACCAUCACCGUCGUUGGUUAGUGUACGUCCGGCGAUAUCUUUAGCUUGAGCUAUUUAAGGUGUGAGUCGUUAGAUUACCUAAGCCAGGUCGAUGUGCUGCUAUAUGUGAUGGGAGGUCAUGCACUACUAUAAUAAAAAGCCAUUGAUGAAAAAAGUAAUAAAUUGGGCAUAUUCAGGACUCGGUAGUAGGUUGGGAUUAGUUAGCCCGAUCGAAUUGGAUUUAGUCGGGGUACACAUCGCCCGUCACCCGGGGCGUUUUAGCCGUUGGGGGAACCGAGUGCUAAAAGAUGGCAGCUUGAAGGCUGGGCCAUUU
rnacentral:rRNA from 1 species